UACGGGGGGGGCAAGCGUUGUUCGGAAUUACUGGGCGUAAAGGGUUCGUAGGUGGCUGGCUCAGUCAGACGUGAAAUCCCUCAGCUUAACUGGGGAACUGCGUCUGAGACUGGUCGGCUCGAGUGCAGGAGAGGAACGCGGAAUUCCAGGUGUAGCGGUGAAAUGCGUAGAUAUCUGGAGGAACACCGGUGGCGAAGGCGGCGUUCUGGACUGCAACUGACACUGAGGAACGAAAGCCAGGGGAGCAAACGGG
rnacentral:rRNA from 1 species